AAGGAAGGAAGGAGAGAAAGAAAGAAAGAAAGAAAGAAAGAAAGAAAGAAAGAAAGAAAGAAAGAAAGAAAGAAAGAAAGAAGGAAGGAAGAAAACCAACCAAAGUCUAGGUGGCAAGUGUGCUCUUUGCUGCUAUUGUGUCACUGUUUCUCCCUUUCAAUAGGCAGAGAUACGAAACAUAGUUUUUUUUAAAUUAAAAUCAUGAGUUCAUGUGAUGAUGCCUUUACCUCCCACCUCCAAUCCCACACCAAUAGGUUCUUCUUCACAUUCCCGCACCUCAUAUAUGUUUAUCUCUCGCACUGUGAGGACCUGGGUUUCCAAUAACUACAUAUUUCUUCAUUUGCCCAGUCCUACAAACCCACAAAAUAGUUUUGUAAUUACUACACCAAUGUCACUGCUGAAAGCAAACCUAUUAAGUAAAUGUCAACAUGUCUUUGAAGCUCUUUUGUCCUUAAAAUCUAUCCCACUGGAAGGUGCACAAUCAAAGUACACUUUUCAAAAGUUACCUGAAUUAAUUGUUCUUUUCCUGUGUGGUUAGAAUAUCAAUUUGGCAUAUAGUUAGGCUCAUCUGGGUUUUUUGUUUUUAUUAUUAUUAUUAUUGAGAUGGAGUCUCGCUCUGUCACCCAGGCUGGAGUGCAGCGCUUGAUCUCGGCUCACUGCAAUCUCCACCUCCUGGGUUCAAGUAAUUCUCCCUGCCUCAGACUCCUGAGUAGCUGGGAUGACAGGUGCCUGCCACCACGCCCAGGUAAUUUAGCAUUUUUCAGUAGAGACGGAGUUUCACCAUGUUGACCAGGCUGGUUUUGAACUCCUGACCUCAGGUGACCUACCCGCCUAGACCUCCCAAAGUGCUGGGAUUACAGGCAUGAGCCACCGAGCCCGCUUGGCUCAUCUGUUUUUGCUUGUAAUCAAUUGCAUUUGAUUCCAAUAACAAAAGCCAAGGAAAAAUAGAAGAGUGUCACCUUAUAUAAAGCAUGUAUAGAGCACCAUGACAAUGGAAAAUAUUACUCAAGAUAAUAAAGUGCAAAUUUCAAUUUCAAUUAAAGGGAAGAUGUUUCUCAAGAGAUGUAGUGAUAUGAAAUUAUCUGGACUUAGAGGACAUUGGUACUUUGAUUUUUCCUUCAUUGUUUUCUUGGGCAAUCCUCAGAGAGCUAGGAAGACUUAAAUAGGGCCAGGUGCGGUGGUUUAUGCCUGUAAUCCUAGCACUUUGGGAGGCUGUGGCGGGUGGAUUGCUUGGGCGCAGGAAUUCAACAGCAGUUUGGGCAACAUAGUGAGACCCCAUCUCUACAAAAACAAUUUUAAAAAUUAGCUGAGUGUGGUCACACACCUGUGGUCCCAGCUACUCGGGAGGCUGACGUGGGAGGAUCGCUUGAGCCCGGGAAGUUGAGGCUGCAGUGAGCCAUGAUCGUGCCACUGCACUCCAACCUGGAUGACAGAGCAAGACUCUGUCUCAAAAACAAACAAACAAACAAACAAAAAAUAGUCACACAAUCAAUAAGGGCAAAGAUGAACCCUGAGAUGUAAUCAUGGAUCAACCAAGACAAAAUAUUACCUGCUGAAAGAACACAAAGGCACCUGGUGAUUUCAGUAGCUUAACAAAACAAGAAAAGAUUAAAACUCCACACCACUGGACAGUCAGACUUGCCAGGCGUUUUUCACCGGCAAACAGAGUAGGAGUGACAGGUGAGCUGGAGUCACAGUUCUGGCCAUUUCUCCCUGAGCUCAUUUGCCGUUCUGCCGUUUCUGCUGGAGACUCCACUGCCGUUUAAUUCGCAAACUGUUCUGACCACAGUUUGGCUGCUCAGUUGCUACUUUAAAUCUUUAUUUUCCCUACGUAUAAUACAUAAUGUUAAUUAAAAUGUUGAUUCCCGUGGGAUUCACAAAUUUCAUAAUUUAAAAACUUUGUGUAAUUUCUUUAAUUGGGAUUCAAAUAAUGCUGACCUCCCUGAGGAGUUACUGUACAUGAAGCUGAACUAGUAAUAAAAUUAAAAUGUCAGAUGAGAGUGAAAUAUACUUUUCUGCCUUGAUACACAGCUGAAUACUUGCACACUGUGAAUCCAAAUAUGUUCCCCUGUGUUUCUUCUUAAAUUCACCUAGCAAGGCCUCUAUUCAUCAUCUCGUGUUUCCCUGGAAACCAUUGAUAAGAUUUCAAAACACUUCAAAACAAUAUAACCCUUCUCUAGAGAUGUUUCCUCGGUUGCCGAGGAAACCUGUCUCUCAAAUUUUGGUUCCGGGAGUGAAGAUUCCUAUGCCAGGAACAAAACCAUAUCUAGAAAUUUUUGAAGACAAGACCUGCCCUGAAUAGGAGGAUCUUCAGGUGCUUCCAUCCUCCACCCACUGGAUUUUGUCCCCUGCCCUCUUGUUAGGAUUCCUCACGCCGCCGGAUGAGGGGGCUACGAGUUCUCUCCCCUGGAGGCCCAGCCCUCACUCACAGCCUCCUCCAGCCCAGCUGGAGAUGGAAACUUUCGGAAAAUGUACAGGCAGCGCAGUGUGGGGUAGUUGCAAUGCAGUGUGGCACUAUCACUGAAAAGUAGAGUAAGUGAAGUCAGUGGCCAAAUGGAAAUCUUUCAGCCACCUUCACUGCAUGUGCCUUGUAUUCAUCCAUUCUCACACUGCUAUGAAGAAAUACCCAAGACUGGAGUAUUUACAAGGUUUAAUUGAUCCACAGUUCUGCAUUCCUGAGGAGGCCUUAGGAAACUUACAAUCAUGGCAGACUGCCAAGGGGAAGCAAGGCACCUUCUUCACAGAGCGGCAGGACAGAGUGAGUGCAAGCAGGGGAAAUGCCAGACACUUAUAAAACCAACAGAUCUCAUGAGACUCACUCACUAUCAUGAGAACAGCAUGGAGGAAACUGCCCCUAUGACUCAAAUUACCUCCACCUGAUCUCACCCUUGACGUUUGGGGAUUCUCGGGAUUAUAAUUCAAGGUGAGAUUUGGGUGGGGACACAGAGCCAAACCAUAACAUGCCGCUAUGGGUUCUCUGUUUGGCGUAUUUGUGUAGAUCUGCAAAUAAUUGACUAUUUAUUGCUGAUUAUCAUCGAAAGAUGCUUCUUUGGCUUUUCUAGAAGGAAUUGGAAGAGUUCAGGAUUUCUCCCACAAUAAUAGAUGUCAAGUGAAACAGAAGGAAAACAACAUAAAAGAAAAGAUACAAAAUAAAGAUUUUCUAAUCUUGCAUGGACGCAAGGAGCAGAGUUCUCAGUGUUUCAGCUAUUAGUUGCUAAGGAACAAAAUUCCCCAAAACUUACAGGAGGAAAACAACCAACAUUUUAUUAUUAUCAUGGAUUUUGUGGGUUGGGAAUUUGGGCAGGGCACUGUAGAGUUGGCUUGUCUCUGUUCUCUGUUCCACAAUGUAAAAGACUUGAAUGACUGCAAUCUUCUAGAAGUUUCUUCACUCACAUCUCUGGUGCCUGAGCUCGGCUGGGACUGCUGAUCAGAGUGUUUCCACACAGCCUCCCCACGUGGCUUGGGCUUCCUCAGAGCAUGGCAGCUUCAGAGGCAUUGGUCUUUUUACCAGGCAGUCAGGACUUCAAGAGCAAAUGCUCCAGUGAACAAGGCAGAAACCACAUGGCCUUUUAGCCCUGGCUUCAGAAGCCACACAGCAUCACAUUUGGCCUGAAGAACUCUAAAGACUUGAUCCCACUGGUCAUGUUCUUGCGGGGCACGAGAGCUGGAUCCAGCACCUCUAACUCAGCCGUGUGUAGAGAAGGGCCGACUAUUGAGAUGCAAAAUUGCUGAGCGGUUCAUUUUCUUCUAAUGUCAUCACUAACUGUCACUGGGACUUGGCAGCUCCUCCUUAAGAUCAAAUGGGUUGGAAUUCACUUGGAAUCUAUUCUAAUGAGAAAGAAGACAGUCUUUAACUCUGAUAAAAUAGUGCUUGGGAUCCACUGACUCUUGGUUGGAGAGAAGAAAACCACAUGGGAAGCUGGCAGAGGGGAAGUCAGAGGAAGGGAGUGGUGUCCAGAGAACUCCAAUACAGCUGUGGGCUCAGGAGCUGAGUAGGAAUGAUGGUUUCCUAAUUGUGAAAACAGGAACAGGUGCCACUACAAUGCUACGCCAAAAAUAAAAUAAAAACAUGAUGUGAAUGCUUAGUAAGAGAACACAAUCUUUGGGCUGCUUGUUUUCAAGGAAAUAUGAGGGUUGGAAGACAGCCUUAAAUGAUUCCUCAACGAUUCAACCAGCCCAAUCCAAAAGCGAGACAUUCUGUAAGAUAAAUGACCUGGAAAAUGAGCUGAUUGU
rnacentral:lncRNA from 10 species